GACGAACGCUGGCGGCAUGCCUAAUACAUGCAAGUCGAGCGGAGUUGAUGGAAAGCUUGCUUUCCUGAUACUUAGCGGCGGACGGGUGAGUAACACGUAGGCAACCUGCCCUCAAGCUUGGGACAACUACCGGAAACGGUAGCUAAUACCGAAUACUUGUUUUCUUCGCCUGAAGGAAACUGGAAAGACGGAGCAAUCUGUCACUUGGGGAUGGGCCUGCGGCGCAUUAGCUAGUUGGUGAGGCAACGGCUCACCAAGGCGACGAUGCGUAGCCGACCUGAUGGGGUGAUCGGCCACACGGGGACUGAGACACGGCCCAGACUCCUACGGGAGGCAGCAGUAGGGAAUCUUCCGCAAUGGGCGAAAGCCUGACGGAGCAAUGCCGCGUGAGUGAUGAAGGUUUUCGGAUCGUAAAGCUCUGUUGCCAGGGAAGAACGCUUGGGAGAGUAACUGCUCCCAAGGUGACGGUACCUGAGAAGAAAGCCCCGGCUAACUACGUGCCAGCAGCCGCCGUAA
rnacentral:rRNA from 1 species